CCCAGUGGGUGUCCAACCAAUGGGCUCCCGGCCAAGUAGUGGGAGCUCUGGGUGUCCAACUCCUCCUAUUUAGGAUUAGCGUUAGGUAGGCCUGGGCGUUAGGGAUUGGGCGGUCCUCCCUCCCCGCCUGAAGCGAGGCGGGACAGUUGUUGCUGAGGUGAGGUCUAGUAAAUGGUGAAGUAUUUCCUGGCCUGGGGGCAUCUGGGACCGUGGGGUCUCGGUGGCGUGGAGUCGGAGAGGAGCCCGACCCGCGGGGAAACCCAGUCUUGCCAACGGAGCGGGCCCGGCGCAGCCCUCAGGUCUGUGGUGCUAGUGGAGCCGAGGCACGGCCUUGGGUGGCCCGCUGACAGCUCCUUCGGCCCGGACCUGGGAACGCGGCGGAGCCCUCGGCUGCGUGGACCCCAGCCCUUGCAACCUCUCUUUUCCUUCUAUCCACCUGCAGUCCCAGGCUGUAGAAGGGACCGCGGGCGUUCUGAGUUCUCAACCCUCAUUUCAUUUUCUAUCUCCGGGUGCAUACCUUAAUGUGAGGUGAUUCCUAAGCAGCUGGGAACCUGAGGCUGUAAAAGGGGCUGCAGGAAAUGGACUGCAUUGUAAAAUCCAGAAGCAGAACUGGAAGGUUUAACCACUGACCCAUUUCACAGGUACUGUAUAGCACAUUUUAUUUGCCAUUCUCUUUUUGAUGGACAUUGGUUGUUCCCAGUUUUUCAACUUAUAGACAAUGCUGCAGGGAAAUCCUGAAUGUCUCAUGCAUCCAUGGACCAAAAGAUGGAGUUGGUUUUUAUUUUUAAAAAGAUAUUAUCAAUGAUCUGAUAUAACUAUAAAUACUCACUUGAUGAAGUUGCAUGGACUCAUCAUCAGGUUGGACUAGUGGUUAUUUUUGAAAGUUUCUUCAACUGAAGUUACUAUUUGAAAAUUAAAGCAUCCAAGAACAUUGGAUUUGGAAUGGCAUAAUGAUGUAUUUUCUCUGAGGACUGCAAAUUUCAUAGAGACCACACUGAAUUCCAGUUGGAUUCCAGUUAUAUUCUUCAAUCAAAGUGAUUCAGUCCUUUGAUAAAGUUAAUUUUGAAUAGUUUUAUGUUUAUGAACGACGCCAAAAGAUGGGAGAAAAAAAUGGUAGGUUUGGAAACCGUUGUUAAACAUUAUAUUUAAAAGUGUAUAGACCACUUAAUGAAGCUGAAUUGUGGAAUUUUCAAAGUUUUUCACUACAAGUGACUAUUCUACAUUUGAAGGAAUUUAGGAUUUAUUCUCAUGUAGCCAA